AAAAGGCUGCAUUCAAAUAUCUGUCAAAUCUUACCUGAAAAACUAGAAACUCAAAAAGGAUUCCAGACUGUCAAAAUAUUAUCACAAAGGCCCAUGUACACCAGCAGUCUGCUGUUUGUGACCAAAAUGACCAUUUGGAGACAUCAAACAACCAGUCCUCAACCAGCAACUGACCAGUAAUUUGUCCUAUUGGUCAAAUUACUUUUGCAUGUUUAGAUCUUGCCUCAGAAGAUUUUGUGGUCUAGCAGAUGGCUUCAGGAAAAUCACGUCUACUUUACAC
rnacentral:lncRNA from 1 species